UUCUGUGACGUGACGGUUCG
rnacentral:piRNA from 1 species